rnacentral:rRNA from 1 species
CCUACGGGCGGCAGCAGUGAGGAAUAUUGGUCAAUGGACGAGAGUCUGAACCAGCCAAGUCGCGUGAAGGAUGACUGCCCUAUGGGUUGUAAACUUCUUUUAUAUGGGAAUAAAAUGUUCCACGUGUGGGAUUUUGUAUGUACCAUAUGAAUAAGGAUCGGCUAACUCCGUGCCAGCAGCCGCGGUAAUACGGAGGAUCCGAGCGUUAUCCGGAUUUAUUGGGGUUAAAGGGAGCGUAGGUGGAUUGUUAAGUCAGUUGUGAAAGUUUGGGGCUCAACCGUAAAAUUGCAGUUGAAACUGGCAGUCUUGAGUACAGUAGAGGUAGGCGGAAUUCGUGGUGUAGCGGUGAAAUGCUUAGAUAUCACGAAGAACUCCGAUUGCGAAGGCAGCUCACUGGACUGCAACUGACACUGAGGCUCGAAAGUGUGGGGAUCAAACAGGAUUAGAUACCCUUGUAGUC